rnacentral:rRNA from 1 species
ACGAACGCUGGCGGCGUGCUUAACACAUGCACGUCGAACGAUGAAGAAAAGAAUUGAAGCUUCGGCAGAAAUUCAUUUCGGAUUAGUGGCAGACGGGUGAGUAACGCGUGAGCAACCUACCUCUUACAAAGGGAUAGCCUCGGGAAACCGGGAUUAAUACCAUAUAACAUUGCGACGAAGCAUUUCGAUGCAAUCAAAGCUACGGCGGUAAGAGAUGGGCUCGCGUCCCAUUAACCAGAUGGUGAGGUAACGGCUCACCAUAGUAACGAUGGGUAACCGGCCUGAGAGGGUGAACGGUCACACUGGAACUGAGACACGGUCCAGACUCCUACGGGAGGCAGCAGUGGGGAAUAUUGCACAAUGGAGGGAACUCUGAUGCAGCGACGCCGCGUGAGUGAUGAAGGAAUUCGUUUCGUAAAACUCUGUUCUAUGGGAAGAAAAGGACUGUACCAUAGGAGAAAGCUCCGGCUAAAUACGUG